AACAAGGUUUCCGUAGGUGAACCUGCGGAAGGAUCAUUACCGAGUGAGGGCCCUCUGGGUCCAACCUCCCACCCAUGUUUAUUGUACCUUGUUGCUUCGGCGGGCCCGCCUCACGGCCGCCGGGGGGCUUCUGCCCUCUGGCCCGCGCCCGCCGAAGACACCAUUGAACACUGUCUGAAGAUUGCAGUCUGAGCAAUUAGCUAAAUAAGUUAAAACUUUCAACAACGGAUCUCUUGGUUCCGGCAUCGAUGAAGAACGCAGCGAAAUGCGAUACGUAAUGUGAAUUGCAGAAUUCAGUGAAUCAUCGAGUCUUUGAACGCACAUUGCGCCCCUUGGUAUUCCGGGGGGCAUGCCUGUCCGAGCGUCAUUGCUGCCCUCAAGCACGGCUUGUGUGUUGGGCCCCGUCCUCCUUCCCGGGGGACGGGCCCGAAAGGCAGCGGCGGCACCGCGUCCGGUCCUCGAGCGUAUGGGGCUUUGUCACCCGCUCUUGUAGGCCCGGCCGGCGCUUGCCGACAACAAUCAAUCUUUUUUCAGGUUGACCUCGGAUCAGGUAGGGAUACCCGCUGAACUUAAGCAUAUCAAUAA
rnacentral:rRNA from 1 species